rnacentral:rRNA from 1 species
GUGAACGCUGGCGGUAGGCCUAACACAUGCAAGUCGAACGGCAGCACAGUAAGAGCUUGCUCUUACGGGUGGCGAGUGGCGGACGGGUGAGGAAUACAUCGGAAUCUACUUUUUCGUGGGGGAUAACGUAGGGAAACUUACGCUAAUACCGCAUACGACCUACGUGUGAAAGCAGGGGAUCUUCGUACCUUGCGCGAUUGAAUGAGCCGAUGUCGGAUUAGCUAGUUGGCGGGGUAAAGGCCCACCAAGGCGACGAUCCGUAGCUGGUCUGAGAGGAUGAUCAGCCACACUGGAAGUGAGAAACGGUACAGACUCCUAAGGGAGGAAGCAGUGGGGAAUAUUAGACGAUGGGGGAAAGGCUGAUCCAGCCAUACCGCGUGAGGGAAGAAGGAAUACGGGUUGUAAAGCCAUUUUGUUGGGAAAGAAAAGCAGCAGGUUAAUACCCCGCGGUACUGACGGUACCCAAAGAAUAAGCACCGGCUAACUUCGUG